GUGUGAGCUACUUUUCUAAAAGCUAUAGGAGAGCCUAUAGCUCCCCACAUGACCAUGUAAGAAGGGUGGGUCAUUCAUCCCCAUUUCCAGAAGGCACAAGGGGGUCCCAGAGAGCAGAAUUUCUUCUCUGCAGCUGACCAUCAUCUAGAAAACAGAGAAACAGUGAUACCGACCAGGGGUCUUGGCCUUCCCCAAUCAAUAGAAAUUGCCUAGAGGCCAGACAAGAAAUUCAGGCAAGGCCUUCCUGGGGCCCCUGCUGCAGCAGCCGGAACGAGAACAAACAGCAGUUACAGAUGCUGAAGCAUAAGGGGGUUAAAAACCUG